UACGUAGGGUGCGAGCGUUGUCCGGAAUUAUUGGGCGUAAAGGGCUCGUAGGCGGUUUGUCGCGUCGGGAGUGAAAACACACAGCUUAACUGUGUGCUUGCUUCCGAUACGGGCAGACUAGAGGUAUGCAGGGGAGAACGGAAUUCCUGGUGUAGCGGUGAAAUGCGCAGAUAUCGAGAGGAACACCUGCGGCGAAGGCGGGUUGCUGGGCUGACACUGACGCUGAGGAGCGAAAGCGUGGGGAGCGAACAGG
rnacentral:rRNA from 1 species